rnacentral:rRNA from 1 species
UACGGGGGGGGCAAGCGUUGUUCGGAAUUAUUGGGCGUAAAGAGCUCGUAGGCGGUGUGUCGCGUCGGCCGUGAAAACCUGCAGCUUAACUGUGGGCUUGCGGUCGAUACGGGCAUCACUGGAGUUCGGCAGGGGAGACUGGAAUUCCUGGUGUAGCGGUGAAAUGCGCAGAUAUCAGGAAGAACACCCGUGGCGAAGGCGGCUCUCUGGGACGGUACUGACGCUGAGACGCGAAAGCGUGGGGAGCAAACAGG